CAGGUCCUUGCCCUCCUCAUCGAGUUGUGGCUGGCUGUGGGCUGAGCUUAUCUCGACUGUGACUUGGUGGUUGCUCUCUUGGCUGUGUUUUGUACACAUGUUAUUGUCACAAACGUACCUCAUGAUCUGGAGCCCUGGCUGAAGUUUGCUGCCAUCCGUGGGCCUGCCCUGCCUGCUGUGCUUCGCUUCUGUGGGACUGCGUCCUGUGCAAGGAGCUCCAGCCCCACGUUACUCCUGUUGGUGGUUCACACAGUGUGGAGCACAGAGCCAAGAACUCGGCCCUAGGCUGGGAUGUGCCCCCAAGGCCCGUGGUGUACUGCAGGGCAGUCUUGUGCCAAUGCACUCUGAAUGGCUUCUUGCAUGGUAGAGAGACCUGCACUGAGAUGGAACUGUCUGCAGUAGAGAAGACAUAUGCCAUGCUUAUGCUCUGUCCCAUGCUGCUAGAGGCCGCAACAGCUGUGUCACAGUCACAGGGGUGCCACUUGGAGAUAGAACCAGG
rnacentral:lncRNA from 1 species